rnacentral:lncRNA from 1 species
GGGAGCCCUUUACUUCUCUAAUGAUAGAUAAGAAUGUGAGGUCCUUUACCAUACAGACUCUGUGAAAAAGUCCCUGUGUUCUUUAACCCACAGUAGCUACUGCCUUGCCAGGACUUUUUUGCCUCUUGCUGGCAAGUCUAAGAUUAAAUCCAGGGAUGGACUGACUGGCUUGCAGCCAGUGUCUAGCAACUCACCCACCUUCCUUCGCCCUUCCCUGUUCACUUGCCUUGGGCUGAACUAUUAAACAUGAUGGCACUCAUUUUCCCUGGCUUGAUGCCUGGAGCCCCUUCAGGAAGAGAAAUUAUCUCUUCGUCCAGUUGUUCCCUUGCUCUUAGCUCAGGGACUUUGAAAGCUGGCAUCAGGAGCCUUUUCGUGACUGCCAGCUAAUCAAAAAAGACAGAGCUGGGGGAGGAGGGUCGGCUCACCAUCCUGCUCCUCCUCUGUGUCCCACUUUUCAUUGAAUCUGUCAGGUAUUGAAAACGCUGUGGAAGUACACUGCCUGACAAAGGGACUAGAUGGCCAGGAAGUUAAUUUGGGAAUGUUCAGUUAUUUGUUGAAUCAAAUGAGCAGAGGAACAUCAAAAGCCCCAAGCAUAUGAAAGCACCUAUGAAUCAGAGUAAGGAAGUUAAAUUGCUUCUAUUUCUCCAAAGAAGAAGAAUGAUCAAGGCCCUAAAACUCCGUCUUGGGUAGUGCAGAGCCAAGAACUGAACCAGUACGGCACAGAGAAAAUUAGACAGAGGAAGCACAGCACAAUAAGACACAGAUUGUUGGUCUACGGUUUGCAGAAAGAAGAUAAGAGGAGGAGAAGACCAGAAUGAAUUGUGAGAGACAACCAAGAAUGGAAUUAGUAUUGACCAACUUUCCAGGGAAAAGAGCUGCUGCAGCACUGACAUUUACAAAUGAGGAGACGGAUGAUGAUCAAAGGGGCUUAGAUACUAAAUUAAAACAUGUGACUAUAGGCAGGAAAGCAUAAGAACUUAAAAACAUCUAUUGAUAAAGGGUGCAAAAGCAACUACCUGGAAGCUUGUGGCACUAAAUGAUCAACAUGACAUAGAUCCAAGGAAGCUGAAUGAAGAAAACAAACUUUCAUGGUCAAAUUGAGAAAAUACCCUAGUUUUUAAAUUAGCCUGUCUAUGGGCAAUUUUAGCAAAACAGGGCAGCAAAAACACAUGCCCUACAUGCCUAAGUGUGAUUCAUAAGGCCACACUUUAAAAUGACAAGGAAAAACUCAACAUCUAGGAGAUGACCAAGGCGAGCUAAGUUCUAAAUGUACCAUCUUUGUAGCAGAAUUAUAAAGUUUCUUCUUAAAAUAGUGAGUCUUUGAGAAGGCACAGCUGACUUACAUAUGAAAUUGCAUGGCUUAGUCAUCGAAUUAAUAUAUUUUUUCCUGGCCAUGUCUAGACAUUGAAAAGUAGGCUGUGGGUUGAGUGCAAGCACAUGAUAAGGGUGAGUGUCCAUCUUGUGGCAGGAAGUGGUUGUCAAAUUGAUGAAUUCCAAGUCUGUUCUUAGUAAUUUCAUUAAUAAUCUGGACAAAAAAGACUAUGACUUUUGGAUGGACCUGAAUUUUUAGUACAAGUGUGGGCUCUGGAUAACCUUGGGGAAGUUAGAUAAUGUCACUGAACUGCUUUUGAAAUUGUAAAAUAAUAACAGUAGCUAUCUUGUAAUACCUGUCUCCAAGGGAUGUUAAAACAUAAUAGGAUAACAUAAGCAAAGUGCCUGAUGCAGUAGACACUCAAUGCCUACAGCUUCCUCUUCUACUCUUACCUGUUCUUGUAAGUAUAGCCUGUCCUUGCUGGGUGUGAGGCUUUGUGUGUAUUCUCUUCUCUUUUAUACAAGUCAUCAUGUCUUGGUUUAUCAUCAAGCCCUCUUUUUUCUCUGCUCCCCUUGCUCACGGUCCUUACAAUAUUAAUGCAGUUUGCUGCUCCUGGACAUGUAUUCCUGCAUAUUCUUCAGUUAGUUUGACGCUAUAAUUAAGCACCUGUGAAGUGCGUUAGGAAUUUAAAUUCUAUCUUCAAGGGGGUGGUUUGCACCCUUGGCUGUAUAGUAGAAUCACCUGAGGAGCUUUAAAAAAUACUGAUGCCCAGACUGCACUCCAGACCCAUUCAUUUAGAUUCCAGGGUGCUGGACCCAGAAACCAGUUUUUUUUUAAACUCCCCAGGUGAUACUAAUGUGUAGUUAAGGUUGAGAAUCCUUGUUCUAAUGUUUUGACAAGGUACUUCAUCUUGAUACCAUCUGGAUACAAACUGUACAUUGUCUGAGCUCAUUUAGAUUUGCAAUAAAUAGAAAAAUUUAUUUAUUUCUCUUUAAUUUUAAUGAAAUUUUUCUCUUCUGAUAUCAAUACUGUGCCCUGGGGAGUCUUAUUUGAAAUUAAGUCAGUAAAUUUCAACAAUAAUUAUUGGUUUUUUUGGUAAGUUUGUUUUAUAUAGAAGGUCCCAUUCAGUGCUAAGUGAUGUGUGUAGAUGUUGAGUGAACGUAUUAAUAAAUGAAGGAGUGCAAACUUAAGUCACCAAAUUAAUUGCAGCAACAAUAAGGACUUGACAGGAUUUAAAAUCCCAAAGACUCUGAGGCUUUUAAGAGUUGAACCUGGCCCCUAGAGUGCAGUUUUGAUAGCAGAAGGGAGAACUUGGUUUAUAUGUUCUGCUUCUGAAUCUCUCUGAAAAUAGACCAUUCAGCUCAUCUGUAUUUUUCUGCAGGGAGUAUCACUCAAAACUUAAACUCUGUCAAAGAAAAAUUGCACCUGCAGAGUCAAAUAGGCAAGGUAGAUUUUAUUCAAGACUAUUGCAGUAGGGGAGAAAGAUUGACCUCAACUUGUCUGAAACAAAGGGGGGGAGGAUUUUUCUAUUGUGCAUUUUUUUUCUAAGCUAUAGUUGAUUUACAAUGUUUCAGUUCCUGCUAAAGUGACUCAGUCACACACACACACACACACACACAUGCUUUUUUUAUAUUAUUUUCCAUCACAGUUAAUCCUAGGAGAUUGGAUAUAGUUCUUUAUGUAUAGAACCUGUUGUUUAUCCACUUUAAAUGUAAUAGUUUGUGUCUACCAACCCCAAAGUCCCCAUCCAUUCCACUCUUCCCUUCCUCCCCCUGCCCUUGGCAACCACAUGUCUCUUCUCUGUGUCUGUGAGUCUCUUUCUGUUUGUGGAUAGGUUCAUUUGUACAAUAUUUUAGAUUCCACAUAUAAGUGAUAUCAUAUGGUAUUUGUCUUUCUCUUUCUAACUUCACUUAGUAUGAGAAUCCCUAGUUGCAUGUAUGUUGCUGCGAAUGAAAUGAUUUCAUUCUUUUUUAUGGAUGAGUAGUAUUCCACUGUGUAUGUAUACGACAUCUUCUUAAUCCAUUUAUCUGUUGAUAGUCAUUUAGGUUGUUUCCAUGUCUUGGCUAUUGUGAAUAAUGUUGCUGUGGACACAGGGGUGCACGUAUCUUUCUGAAUUACAGUUUUGUUCAAAUAUAUACACAGGAGUGGGAUUGUUGGAUCAUAUGGUGGUUUCUAUUUUUAAUUUUCCAAGGAACCUCCAUACUCUUGUCCAUAGUGGUUGUGCCAAUUUAUAGUCUCACUAACAGUGUAAGAAGUUUCCCUUUUCUAAAAGUGGGAGAAUUUUUAAGCACUGGUGUGAACUCUACCCAAUAUUCUGUGAUAAUCUAUAUGGGAAAUAAUUUGCAAUGAGAUCCUGCUGUGUAGCACUGGGAACUAUGUCUGGUCACUUAUGAUGGAACAUGAUAGUGUGAGAAAAAAGAAUGUAUACAUGUAUGUGUAACUGGUCAUCAUGUUGUACAGUAGAAAAUUGACAGAACACUGUAAACCAGAUA